rnacentral:rRNA from 1 species
UACGUAGGGUGCAAGCGUUGUCCGGAAUUAUUGGGCGUAAAGAGCUCGUAGGCGGUUUGUUGCGUCGGCUGUGAAAUCCCGAGGCUCAACCUCGGGUCUGCAGUCGAUACGAGCAAACUAGAGUGUUGCAGGGGAGACUGGAAUUCCUGGUGUAGCGGUGAAAUGCGCAGAUAUCAGGAGGAACACCGGUGGCGAAGGCGGGUCUCUGGGCAUUUCCUGACGCUGAGGCGCGAAAGCGUGGGGAGCAAACGGG